rnacentral:rRNA from 1 species
UACGAGUGCCCCGAGCGUUAUCCGGAAUCAUUGGGCGUAAAGGGUGUGUAGGUGGUUGUGUUAGUCUUCUGUUAAAUUCUUCGGCUUAACCGGGGGCAUGCAGGGGAAACGGCACAACUAGAGGAUGCGAGAGGUGAAUGGAACUCAUGGUGUAGGGGUGAAAUCCGUUGAUAUCAUGGGGAACACCAAAAGCGAAGGCAGUUCACUGGCGCACUCCUGACACUGAAACACUAAAGCGUGGGUAGCGAAUGGG